GAUGAACGCUGGCGGUAUGCUUAACACAUGCAAGUCGAACGGACUCUUCGGAGUUAGUGGCGGACGGGUGAGUAACGCGUGAGAAUCUGGCUUUGGGUUCGGGACAACCACUGGAAACGGUGGCUAAUACCGGAUGUGCCGAGAGGUAAAAGAGAAAUUGCCUGAAGAUGAGCUCGCGUCUGAUUAGCUAGUUGGUGAGGUAAAGGCUCACCAAGGCAGCGAUCAGUAGCUGGUCUGAGAGGAUGACCGGCCACACUGGGACUGAGACACGGCCCAGACUCCUACGGGAGGCAGCAGUGGGGAAUUUUCCGCAAUGGGCGAAAGCCUGACGGAGCAAUACCGCGUGAGGGAAGAAGGCUCUUGGGUUGUAAACCUCUUUUCUUAGGGAAGAACAAAAUGACGGUACCUAAGGAAUCAGCAUCGGCUAACUCCGUG
rnacentral:rRNA from 1 species